UUAAGCAUAUAACUAAGCGGAGGAAAAGAAACUAACAAGGAUUCCCCCAGUAACGGCGAGUGAAGCGGGAAGAGCUCACGAUGUGAAUCGAGCCCCCGGGCCCGAAUUGUAGUCUGGAGAGGCGAGGCCUGCCGCUGUCCGCGGCCAAGUCUGAUUGGAAAUGAGCAUCAUGGAGGGUGAUAAUCCCGUUCUUKCCGCGGUAUUCAUCAGCGCGCAGAAGGCCCGUUUUCUUAGAGUCGAGUUGCUUGGGAUUGCAGCUCAAAUCGGGUGGUAAACUCCAUCCAAAGCUAAACACGGGGGGGAGACCGAUAGCGAACAAGUACCGUGAGGGAAAGAUGCAAAGAACUUUGAAAAGAGAGUUAAAGAGUGCCUGAAAUUGCUGGGAGAGAAGCGAAGGAAAGAGGCGUGCGGUCGCCGGAGCGCCAACCCCCAUUCUUGCCCUCGUGGUGUGGGGGUAGGCCGCUCCGCCGCUGUCAGACUGCGCCGGGGUCGCGGGAGGCUCCCCGCGGGAUCGGUAGCCGUGUCGCGUUCGCUCGUCGUUCGCGGCCGGUGUCAGGCCCGCGCGGGCAGCACCGCGAUUGUGUGAUGAUUUUUGUUGUCCCAUCCCGGCCCGCCGCUGGCGAGCGCCGCUUKUCUUCACCCCGKCUUGAACCACG
rnacentral:rRNA from 1 species